AGGGAAUCUUCCGCAAUGGACGAAAGUCUGACGGAGCAACGCCGCGUGAGUGAAGAAGGCCUUCGGGUCGUAAAACUCUGUUGCCGGGGAAGAACAAGUGCCGCUCGAACGGGGCGGUGCCUUGACGGUACCCGGCCAGAAAGCCACGGCUAACUACGUGCCAGCAGCCGCGGUAAUACGUAGGUGGCAAGCGUUGUCCGGAAUUAUUGGGCGUAAAGCGCGCGCAGGCGGUUUCUUAAGUCUGAGGUGAAAUCUUGCGGCUCAACCGCAAGCGGUCAUUGGAAACUGGGAGGCUUGAGUGCAGAAGAGGAGAGUGGAAUUCCACGUGUAGCGGUGAAAUGCGUAGAGAUGUGGAGGAACACCAGUGGCGAAGGCGGCUCUCUGGUCUGUAACUGACGCUGAGGCGCGAAAGCGUGGGGAGCAAAC
rnacentral:rRNA from 1 species